UUUCUCAAAAACACGAUAUAGUAUAAUACAACAGAAAACGCUUUUUACGAUGAGCUUAUCUGUGAGCUCUUUAAAAAAAUUUAACUUCCCUCAUUCUCUUUUGUUUCGUUGUUCGACUUUGUCUUUGUGCCUUUCCUUCGAAUUUGUUCACCCUGAAGGAGUCGUUUCAUCAUCGUACUUCUGACGGCAUUGCCUCAAGAAUUGAGUGUAGCGCUCCAUUCUAGGUUCAGGUAUUCGUGUUCCUUCUUUCCCUCCUUCUCUUCUCUAUUUCUUCUUUUCGAAAACCCUAGCCUAAGGGAACAAGGACAUGAAAGUACGAGCGGCCUGAGGGAAAACGUCUAAUGCUCUGAGGAGAAAUAGGUACGAGCGAUUCAUGAGAGCAAGGUUUAAUUCUGAGUGGUUAUUUAAGAUCUUUAAAAUUGCGGCUAUCAUGUUUGUAUAGUCAUAACGCAAAGACCCCAAAGUGGGCUUUAUUUUACAGGAAGUCUUCCUAAGGAGUGACUAAGAUUCAUUUCGUCAAACCAAUGCUUGUUUGAGUAUGGAAUUUGUCUUUACCACUAUUCUUUGUUUAUUUCCUUGCCUUAUUUGUUUUGAUAGAUGAUAUUCUUAAAGUAGUUGCUGAAAUGAAUUUUCUUUUUUAGUUUCGGUUUUAAGUUUCCUAUUUUUUUCAAUAUUUUUCUGUUCACUUAAGAUUUUCUUUCAUGCCUUGCAUUGUAAAUACCCAUUUCAUGAGUAAUGUUAACCUCAUUCUUUGCAAAACAUUUUAUUUUUCUGUUUUGAUUUUUAGCAUAAUAGAUAAUACUCAUUUCGCUAAUUAGGUUCUGAUUUUCUUCUCCUUGUAUAGUUAGUUAUAGCAUUUGGAAAUUGAUAAAAAUAAAAUUUUGCAUCCUUGUUAUUUUAGGAAGUCUAGCAUCUCUCAUGCAUCCAUUUAAGCAUAACAUAUCAUAUUUCAUGUCUUGCAUCUGUUUUUGUUAUGGGUGUCGCCGCCCAAUCAAAUUUGAUUGCAUAUGAGGAAUGCAGUAUAGCUAAGGAAUGACCCCUAGGUCGUCUCUCAAGGACCAAACUCUGGUUCGAGAAUUAAGUCAAACACGAAGGUUCGGGGGGGUUGUUGAAAAGUUUGUGAAUGCNGAUAAAUUAAAUUAAAACACAGAUGCAAACAGAAAUGUAAAAACAGAAUCAAACACAUAAUAAAAGAGGUUGGUCAUUAACCUAAGCUAACAUUACAAUUAAUUAUCACAUCCUAACAUAACACACAACAUUAAAGUGAAUAUAAAAUUGGAACAAAAUCACAUUGNAACGAAAAUUGGAAAUUGUAGCAAAAAGGAACAACGACCCAUCAAACAAAAUUCAAUUAAAACCAAAUAAAAUGAAAGUAAAGAUCUGAAUGCACUAAGAUAAAUUCAAGCAAUGAAUUAACGAACAUAUUUCAAAACAGAAAUAGAAUUGCCACACUUGAACUAAAAAAAAUAAAUGCUGAUUGUAUUAAACGAAGUAGAAGCAAAUUGCAUGCUAAUCCACGAAAUGAGUUAAGAGUACUAUAAUAAAAAAAUAUGAUAACAAUACUAGGAUGCAUAAGAGUCUACAAAAACAAAGUAAAUGAAUGCAACAGUGACACCAUGCUGUUAUUUCCUAAUUGACGUCGCCCUCCAUUUUUUUUCAAGUGAUGAAAGUAAAUCUCAUAAAAGUCCAUAGACCCCCUCUAGGUGGCGGCUCCC
rnacentral:lncRNA from 1 species